GUAAAGUGCCGAACGGGUGAGUAAUAAGUGAGUAAUUAACCUUUUAGACUGGGAUAACAUUCCGAAAGGGAUGCUAAUACCGGAUAAGACCACAAUGCUCAUGCGAUGUGGUAAAAGGUGGCCUUAUGGGCUGUUGCUAAAAGAUAAGCUCGCUUACCAUUAGCUAGUUGGUAGGGUAAUGGCCUACCAAGGCAACGAUGGUUAGCCGGCUUGAGAGGGUGUCCGGCCACACUGGAACUGAGAUACGGUCCAGACUCCUACGGGAGGCAGCAGUGAGGAAUAUUGCGCAAUGGGGGAAACCCUGACGCAGCAACGCCGCGUGAGCGAUGAAGGCCUUCGGGUCGUAAAGCUCUGUCAGGUGGAACGAAAACUACAAAAUGAAUAAUUUUGUAGUAUGACGGUACUACCAA
rnacentral:rRNA from 1 species